CAUUUUAUUAGUGAUUCUGUCCCGGCGUUGAAAAAGGCCCGGUUACGUUAUUUGGGAACGAACGCGUACACUAAACAAUGUUGUAUCUGGACACUGAAGUUUUGCUUGCAAUUUCUUCCGGGGCGUGCUUGAAAAGGGUGGAGCAUCGUGUUUCUUCAGUCCUGGAAGCAUCGAGGCUGUCCUCGGGAGACUUGUUUGGGCAGUAGAGACUGACACAGGGACGAGAUCCGGGGCCUCUCGUUCCAGCAAAAGGCCCUGAAGAAGGCAGAUGAGGUGAAAUUGUAACACAUCUGCAGUUUUCUGAGGCACGUUGUCUCCAACAUUUAUUGCUACACAACAAACUCUCCCGAAAAUGUAGUAGCUAGAGCAAGGACCAUUUUAUUAUUUCCUGUAAUUCUGUGGGUGAGAAAUUCAUACUGGGCAUGUGAUGUCUGCUGGGGCUGGAAUACCCAAGAUGGCCUCUUCAUUCACACCUGUGAUACUGAGCUAGAAUAGCUGGGGUCCUAUGUCUAGGCCUCUAUUUUUGCUGCCAGCUGGGUUCCUCAGCUUUAUUCCUUGUUCUCAGAACCUGUCCCUCUUCAAUUGACCCCUUCUUAUGCCCUUUCCAGUGGGAUGGCUCGACUACUUGCCCUGAGUUUCCAUGAGCAUAAAAUAGAAUAUGCCAAGCCUUCUUUCUGUUUUGACCUAGAGCUGGCACAGCAUCUCUUGCAUCACAUUCUGUUAAUUAAAGCAAGUUGUAGACCCAGUGCAGAUUCAAGGAAAGGGAGACUGCAUUUCAUUUCAGCGAGUGAAUUAUCCUGAUAUGCACUCUAAAGAUCUACUAAAGGGAAUCUGUUUUUGAUUCCCUGAGGUAGAGUAUGUC
rnacentral:lncRNA from 1 species